UACAGAGGUCUCAAGCGUUGUUCGGAUUCAUUGGGCGUAAAGGGUGCGUAGGCGGCGCGGUAAGUCGGGUGUGAAAUCUCGGGGCUUAGCUCCGAAACUGCAUUCGAUACUGCCGUGCUUGAGGACUGGAGAGGAGACUGGAAUUUACGGUGUAGCGGUGAAAUGCGUAGAUAUCGUAAGGAAGACCAGUGGCGAAGGCGGGUCUCUGGACAGUUCCUGACGCUGAGGCACGAAGGUCAGGGGAGCAAACGGG
rnacentral:rRNA from 1 species